CCUACGGGUGGCAGCAGUGGGGAAUAUUGGACAAUGGGCGAAAGCCUGAUCCAGCCAUGCCGCGUGUGUGAAGAAGGCCUUCGGGUUGUAAAGCACUUUCAGUGGGGAAGAAAGCCUUGGGGCUAAUACCCUCGAGGAAGGACAUCACCCACAGAAGAAGCACCGGCUAACUCCGUGCCAGCAGCCGCGGUAAUACGGAGGGUGUGAGCGUUAAUCGGAAUUACUGGGCGUAAAGCGCGCGUAGGCGGUCUGAUAAGCCGGUUGUGAAAGCCCCGGGCUCAACCUGGGAACGGCAUCCGGAACUGUCAGGCUAGAGUGCAGGAGAGGAAGGUAGAAUUCCCGGUGUAGCGGUGAAAUGCGUAGAGAUCGGGAGGAAUACCAGUGGCGAAGGCGGCCUUCUGGACUGACACUGACGCUGAGGUGCGAAAGCGUGGGUAGCAAACAGGAUUAGAUACCCCUGUAGUC
rnacentral:rRNA from 1 species